GGUGGCAGGAGUAGAAGCUGGUACGGUGGUUGGCUCGAUAGCCGCGGCGACGGAGGCUUCAGUGACAUUUUUGCCUUUAGGCGCAGCAGCAGUGGUGGGCUGAGCGCCAGGGUUGGAUGUGCCGGCGCCGGAGGAGGCUUUGACCAAUCUUCUCCUCUUGGGAGCUUUGGUGCUCUCGGCUUAGUUCUCAGCACCGCCCCGUUUUUUCACGUCGCCCUCAGUGUUGAACUUUGGGGAAAAGCGAGCCAUUCUCCUCUCGUGGGCCUUCAGGAGCUCAGCGUUCGUGAAAUUCAUAUCUUCUGUAACAAUAAAAAAUACGAUCAGUGACAACAUAGGAGACGAGAAAGGAAAUGUCAAUAAUAAAAGUGAGCUAUGGGCAACCUAAGUAUUUGGGAGUUCUUGAGAGGUCAGCGCCCUCAAGGACUGUUGUGCAGUCAAGGAUGGGAAGUGGGGCAAGGAGAUUAAGAAAGGCUUUGUCGUUGGCGGACAAAGAUUCCUCUGAAUGAUCGGUGAUCCCAUUGGGCUUCUCCGUCCAGUAAAGUGGAAAAAGGGCGGUCCCGUCUCUAAGGGUGAAUGCCUCUGGGUAGGCGGGAUGAACCGCCACACGGAAGUACUUCCGUGCGAAGGAGGACUUCGCGUUACUUUUGUGAGGAUGCAAGCACUUCCGGCCGGCUCGGGCCUUCAAGGAAAUCCAUCCUUUGUUUUUGAUGGACUUGGGGUCGACGUCGUAGAGGUAGAAGAAACCGGUGGGGGAUGGGGCGAUGCCGACAGCGGCGCUUAAGAUUUCAAAACACCGAAUGAAGGCCCAGGCGUUAGGGUGGAGUUGGCAGGGAGCCGCGUUGAUGUCGCGGAGGACGGUUUGGACAAAGGGCGAGAAAGGAAGCCUGAUUCCAAGCUCGCUAAACAUGUAUUCAUACGCAAAGAAAAAAUGGGAUCUCUUUACGUCGCCGUCUGGCUUAUGAAGCCAGGGGCGGUCCUCAGGACUGCAAAUCCAGAUCCUGAGUUUGGCGUUAAACUCAUCGUCAUGAGACAAACCACCCAGGGAGUUCACGAACUGCACGAUGAGAUCGUUAUUCUGGAAAAUAGAAGGUUGGUCUAUAGCCUCGUGAGUGGGGGCUAUUUGGACUGGA
rnacentral:lncRNA from 1 species